rnacentral:misc_RNA from 1 species
AACGCACGAGACCUGCGGACCUGCGGAAGGAUCAUUACCGAAUGGCCUCUGGGCCUUCACAAACCCCAUCAAACCUGUGGACCUCUCAGAGAGAGCGUGCUUCGGCGUCCCCUCGGCUCUGCCCGAGGGACGCCGCCUUCAUGCAGAUAGAUCGUCUUGUCUGAUUUUGAAACCAUGAGAAUUUAAAACUUUCAGCAACGGAUCUCU